rnacentral:rRNA from 1 species
UCGAGGGGCAGCGGGUAGAUGAGCUUGCUCAUUUAUGCCGGCGACCGGCGCACGGGUGAGUAACACGUAUGCAACCUGCCCGUCUCAGGGGGAUAAUCGUCGGAAACGGCGUCUAAUACCCCGUAUGAAGCUGGACGGCAUCGUCUGGUUUUGAAAGAAUAUCGGAGACGGAUGGGCAUGCGGCGCAUUAGCUGGUUGGCGGGGUAACGGCCCACCAAGGCGACGAUGCGUAGGGGUUCUGAGAGGAAGGUCCCCCACACUGGUACUGAGACACGGACCAGACUCCUACGGGAGGCAGCAGUGAGGAAUAUUGGUCAAUGGGCGAGAGCCUGAACCAGCCAAGUCGCGUGAGGGAGUACUGCCCUAUGGGUUGUAAACCUCUUUUGUCGGGGAGCAAAAGCCGGACGUGUCCGGCUGUGAGAGUACCCGAAGAAAAAGCAUCGGCUAACUCCGUGCCAGCAGCCGCGGUAAUACGGAGGAUGCGAGCGUUAUCCGGAUUUAUUGGGUUUAAAGGGUGCGCAGGCGGAUUUUUAAGUCAGCGGUCAAAUCGUGGGGCUCAACCCCAUCCAGCCGUUGAAACUGGGGAUCUAGAGUGUGCGAGAGGUAUGCGGAAUGCGUGGUGUAGCGGUGAAAUGCAUAGAUAUCACGCAGAACCCCGAUUGCGAAGGCAGCAUACCGGUGCACAACUGACGCUCAGGCACGAAAGCGUGGGUAUCGAACAGGAUUAGAUACCCUGGUAGUCCACGCAGUAAACGAUGAAUGCUACCUGU